UCGCUCCCGAGGCUGUCGGAGGAGAUUCAGCCUCAGGGAGAGCUGCACAGCAGAUCGUGAAAUCCAAUGCCUCUGGAAGAGCAGCAGAACCGCAGAGCAGACCGUGACAUCCAAUGCCUCUGGAAGAGCAGCAGAACAGCAGAGCAGAUCGUGACAUCCAAUGCGAACGCCCUGUAACUGUGAUAAUCAUCCUCGGCAGCCGGAGAUGAGAAGAAGAAGUAGGCUUCCCCUACUAACAUAGUAGAGGUGGUUGUAACCCCUAGAGACGAGCAUGUAAAAUCGGGGUAUAAAUAUGUCAAUAACAGGAUUUACAUCCUGUUUAAAUACUAUAAAUAUAUUGAAGAAAUGCUUCUUGGAGGUGAAGGAAUAGACUGAAAGGAGUACUAUGAAGUCAGAAACCAAGCAUCUCAGAAAUUGUUCUAACAUCUGGUUGAGCCUUUCAGUUUGUCCAUUUGUCUCUGGAUUGAACACCGAAGAGAAGAACAGUUUGGUCCCCAACUUUUUGCGUAAUUUUCUACAGAAUUUUGUGACAAACUGUGCCCCUCUAUCAGAGACAAUGGACUCGGGUAUCCCAUGAAAUGUAAGAAUAUUAUCAAUAAAUAACAUUUCUAAUUUCUUAGCAUCAGGGAGCCUCUUUGACCCAACCAGAUGGAAAAUUUUAGAAAAUCUGUCAAUGACUACUCAGAUGAUCGUCUUCCCCUGAAAGGAAGGAAAGUCUGGUAUGAAAUCAAUAGAGAUGUAAGUCCAAGGUCUCUGUAGGAUGGGCAAGGGACAAAGUAAGCCCGCAGCAGGACGUCUCCUGGGUACCUUGGCCCUCAUGCAGACCUAACAGGCAGAGACAAAGGCAGUCACAUCUCGGGACCAAGUAGGCCACCAGUAGGAUCUGGAAACCAGAUGUCUAGUACCAGCAAUCCCAGGAUGACCUGCAAGCACAGAACCAUGAGACUUUUCCAAAACCUUAAGAUGAAGACUUGGAGGAACAAACAACUUACUAGAAGAAGGAUUAUGGGGAGCAAAAUCCUGACAACAGUGUAUUUCGGUAGCAAGAUCAGGAUUAAAAGCAGCAAUGACAAUGCCAAGAGGAAGGAUGUUAACAGGUUUAGUUUCAACGGAAUCCCUAGCACUGAAAUUAAUGAUAAAGCAACGCUUUCACAUUACCAGACCCAGGACGAUAUGUUACGACAAAAUUAAAGAUGGUGAAAAACAAGGCUCACCAUGCUUGUCUUGGAAUAAAAUGCUUAGCACUGUCUAGAUACA